CCCCUAGAUGUUCUGGGCCGCACGCGCGCUACACUGAACAGUUCAACAAGUCUUAACCUUGGCCGAUAGGUCUGGGUAAUCUUUGAACGCUGUUCGUGAUUGGGAUAGACCUUUGCAAUUAUGGGUCUUCAACGAGGAAUUCCUAGUAAACGCAAGUCAUCAGCUUGCAUUGAUUACGUCCCUGCCCUUUGUACACACCGCCCGUCGCACCUACCGAUUGAAUGGUCCGGUGAAACCUCGGGACGGCGGCUUGGUCGCUUGCGUCCGACUGCUGAAACUUGAUUAAACCAUAUCAUUUAGAGGAAGGUGAANUCGUANCA
rnacentral:rRNA from 1 species